rnacentral:lncRNA from 1 species
AUUAACUGUUGAGAUCUGCAGAUUUAUGUGUCUUUUGCUAAGCUGCANUGAGUGUAAUUCUGCAUAAUGACUUUGUAUGGUCAAAUUUGAUUUAUGUAUUCACUGUGUCAAACAUUUUAUGACCUGUUCUGCAUCUCAACUUUCAAUUUUAUUACAUGAUGAAGCCUGAUUUUAGCAGAAUACUCAUUUAGUUCAUCUGACAAGAUCAGUUGUACAAAACUGCUAUAGUGGCCGAGUGUCUUGNUGCUUUGGAGUCUAGCCUUUGCUUGAUUGUGUUUUCUGAGUUGAACCAUUGUGCUUUUCACAUGAAUAGAUUGCUGACCAAUUGAAAUAUAGUAGUUCCUUAUGCUGUUGUGAAUUGUAGCAAAAGCUUUCAACAUCAAAAUAGUCUGGAAUAAUCAUGAUAGUUGGUUUCUAAAACAACAAAGGAAAGAAAGAAGCAAUUUG